rnacentral:rRNA from 1 species
UACGUAGGGUGCAAGCGUUAUCCGGAAUUAUUGGCGUAAAGAGCUCGUAGGCGGUUUGUCGCGUCUGCCGUGAAAGUCCGGGGCUCAACUCCGGAUCUGCGGUGGGUACGGGCAGACUAGAGUGAUGUAGGGGGAGACUGGAAUUCCUGGUGUAGCGGUGAAAAUGCGCAGAUAUCAGGAGGAACACCGGUGGCGAAGGCGGGGUCUCUGGGCCCGUAACUGACGCUGAGGGAGCGAAAGCGUGGGGGA